rnacentral:rRNA from 1 species
GUAUUCGGACAAUCAGAUAGUGAUCCUAAGGGCUUCCAAGAAAAACUUCUAGCAUUAAGCGUAUAAUUACCCGUACCGCAAACCGACACAGGUGGUCGAGGAGAGAAUCCUAAGGUGCUCGAGUGAAUCAUGGUUAAGGAACUCGGCAAAAUGGCCCUGUAACUUCGGGAGAAGGGGCGCCCCCAGCGAUGGGGGCCGCAGUGAAGAGGCCCAGGCGACUGUUUAACAAAAACACAUGGCUUUGCAAAGUUUCAAGACUAAGUAUAAGGCCUGACACCUGCCCGGUGCUGGAAGGUUAAGAGGGGAUGUUAGUCGCAAGGCGAAGCAUUGAAUCGAAGCCCCAGUAAACGGCGGCCGUAACAAUAACGGUCCUAAGGUAGCGAAAUUCCUUGUCGGGUAAGUUCCGACCUGCACGAAUGGUGUAACGAUCUGGGCGCUGUCUCAACCAUGAGCUCGGUGAAAUUGUAGUCGCGGUGAAGAUGCCGCGUACCCGCAACGGGACGGAAAGACCCCAUGCACCUUUACUGCAGCUUAGUAUUGGUACUGGACAAAUGAUGUGUAGGAUAGGUGGGAGGCUGUGAAGCGGGUUCGCCAGGAUUCGUGGAGCCACUGUUGAAAUACCACCCUUUGUUUGUUUGGUAUCUAACCCCGUAUGGGGGACAUUGCUUGGUGGGUAGUUUGACUGGGGUGGUCGCCUCCAAAAGGAUAACGGAGGCUUCCAAAGGUUCCCUCAGUACGCUUGGUAACCGUACGAGGAGUGCAAUAGCAUAAGGGAGCUUGACUGUAAGGCCGACAAGCCGAGCAGGGUGGAAACACGGGUAUAGUGAUCCGGCGGUUUUGAAUGGAAGAGCCGUCGCUCAAAGGAUAAAAGGUACGCUGGGAUAACAGGCUGAUCUCCCCCAAGAGCUCAUAUCGACGGGGAGGUUUGGCACCUCGAUGUCGGCUCGUCACAUCCUGGGGCUGGAGAAGGUCCCAAGGGUUCGGCUGUUCGCCGAUUAAAGUGGCACGCGAGCUGGGUUCAGAACGUCGUGAGACAGUUCGGUCCCUAUCUGUUGCGGGCGUGGGAAGUUUGCGAGGACCUGACCUUAGUACGAGAGGACCGGGUUGGACUGACCGCUGGUGUACCGGUUGUGAUGCCAAUUGCAUUGCCGGGUAGCUACGUCGGGAAGAGAUAAGCGCUGAAAGCAUCUAAGUGCGAAACUCCCCUCAAGAUGAGACUUCCAUAUAGGGCCGUCAGAGACGAUGACGUUGAUAGGCUAUAGGUGUAAAGGCAGCAAUGUCAUAGCCGAGUAGUACUAAUUGCCAA